ACAUGUAAUUAUAAUGAACACCACGCUUCAUAAGAUGUUAGGAGAGUUUUAUUUUCGGAUUUUAUUGUCAAUUAGUGUGCAAGAAACUAAAAUAAAAAACAAUAGUGAUCAUGGAGCUGAGCACUUACCUCAAGGCGGAUUUUGUAUCCACGGGCUUGUGUGUGUGUGUGUGUCACUGACUGUAUGAGGUCAAGAGUUUGUCCUGCCUUCGCCCUUUCAUCCGCGGCCACGCAAGUUUGAAGCUCAGCAGACACACACACACAAACACCUGGACAACCGUCUCCGUACCUGGAGCAUUCCGUUGACGUCAGCCCCGGGGCGGGCACGAGGUGAGGUAAAUCAAAGCGUUGGGCAGACAGACCGAGAGAGAGCGAGAGGCACGAUCGCACUAGAAGUUUAUGUCUGCCUGUACUCUCGAUUGGCACAGGUCCUCCAUUAACAGCUGAAUAUCUGAAACUGGUUUUGUGAACCUUGCGUUAUACAUGCCACAUUAAAAAUGGUCGAUAGCGAUAUUCUUCAGAGGUAGUCUGUCCGUUGUAGCUCCGAGCGCGGAACUGUUUUUGAAAACUACUCCUUCGGGUGCGUUCCCUACGCAGGUUAUAUGAACUGGAUGUUCAGAGCGCGAGGGAAGAGGAGAGCUGGAUAUGUGGAAGUCGUUUGUCCCCGCGCGCAAGCUGCUGCGUAGCGGGAAAUACCUGUUGCUGGUGCUGCUGUUCUUCUGUGCGCUGGGGGCUUACCUGCAGUUCGCCACCACCAAUGACAUGGACACAAUCCAAUCCAGUGUCCACAUUGACAUACCUGGGAUAAGAGCUGCAGCAAGAAGGGAGGUGAGACACACACACACACACACACACACACACACAGACACAGACACAGACACACAACACAACCUUUCAUAUUUCACAUUUGCCUUUAUGUGUUUGUCACUAGCCACUCCGAGUGCACAACUCUGAUGUGGACACAGAGGAAUCCUGGAGAACACACACUCCUCCAGCAUGGAGUCCACAGGUACACACACACACGCGCACACACACACACACACACACACACACACACACACACACACACACACACACACAUCCACAAACAUACACACAUAAAUAUGUAUGCAAACAAGCACACAUACUCUUGAAUGCACAUAUACACGCUCUCACACACACACAUACACACCAACUAACGGACACACACACAUUCAGGCACUAACAGACUCUCAGAGGACUGGCCUUGUAUAACUGCAUACAUACACAUGGGUUUGUAUGUGUAAGUGUGUUUAUAAGGUCCUUGCACAGCUGCCAUGUUAAAAUUAGAGGGAAUUUUAACCCGUCCUCCGGAAACAUGAGCUCCUCUCUCAUCAUGUCCAGCUUCAAUGCUCACGAUGUGUGUUGACUGCACUUGAGGAGCACAGGAGAGGGCUUCAUUCAUUCAUUCAUUCAUUCAUUCAAUCAUUCAUUCAUUCAUUCAAUCAUUCAUUCAUUCAAUCAUUCAUUCAUUCAUUCAUUCAAUCAUUCACUCAUUCAUUCAUUCAUUCAUCCAUUCAUUCACUCAUUCACUCAUUCAUUCAUUCAUUCAAUCAUUCUCUCAUUCAUUGAUUCAAUCAUUCAUUCACUCAUUC
rnacentral:lncRNA from 1 species